rnacentral:ribozyme from 14 species
AAAACCAGAAAUUACGGGGAACACUUGACUGAUUUUUGUUUUUUUGUUUUUUUGUUUUGUUUUUUUC